AUCUUCCGCAAUGGUCUAAAGUCUGAUCCAGCUAUCCCGCUUGUAUGUUUAAUUCCUUCAGGUUGUAAAGUACUUUCGGCAGAUAAGAAAAGUUAUCUCCUGAUAGGAUAUACUGCUGACGGUCUCUGCAUAUUAAUCUCUGGCUAACUACGCGCCUGCAGCCGCGGUAAUACGUAGUGUGCAAGCGUUAAUCGGUAUUACUGGGCGUAAAGCGUGUGUAGGCGGUUCGGAAAGAAAGAUGUGAAAUCCCAGGGCUCAACCUUGGAACUGCAUUUUUAAAUGCCGAGCUAGAGUAUGUCAGAGGGGGGUAGAAUUCCACGUGUAGCAGUGAAAUGCGUAGAUAUGUGGAAGAAUACCGAUGGCGAAGGCAGCCCCCUGGGAUAAUACUGACGCUCAGACACGAAAGCGUGGGGAGCAAACAG
rnacentral:rRNA from 1 species